AGCCUCCCAAGUAGCUGGGACUACAGGUGCAUGCCACCAUGCUCAGCUUACUUUUAAAAUCUUCAGUCACAAUCCUUUUGUAGUUCAUGAGGAUGAUUGAGUGUUCACACUCAUGUGUGAGAUGUGCCACCCUCAGACCUUGAAAUCUGCAGUCACUCUUGGACGCUAGGUGAAAGCAGAAAACGGCUUCCAGCUGAACUGAGCCAUAAAGUGUCAAGUAAAAAACCAAUCUGGACCAAGGAUAACAGGACACCAGUAAAAUUCAACAGCAUUGAUAGGAAUGCUGAAUAGGAAUUCAACAAAACAUACAAAUACAUACAUUUCAAACACCUACCAGCUGUCCCAGUUCUCCAAGUGUGUUAUAAGCCACACCUCCCUCCAAAUGGUGUUACAGCUGAUGUUCCGAUUUCAGAUGACCCUCCUUCUGUCAGAGGUAUUUGAACCAGAGUGACUCCAUCUUGAAUAGAGGGCUGGGUAAAAUGAGGCUGAGACCUACUGGGCUGCAUUUCCAGGAGGUUAGGUGUUCUUAGACACAGGAUGACAUAGGAAGUUGCCACAGGUCACAAAGACCUUGCUGAUAAAACAGCAUGUGGUACAGAAGCCAGCCAAAUCCCACCAAAACCAAAAUUACCAUGAAAGUGACCUCUGGUUGUCCUCAUUGCUCAUUAUACACUUAUUAUAAUACUAAGAGACACUCCCACCAGUGCCAUGACAAUUUACAAAUGCCAUGGCAACAUCAGGAAGUUAGUCUAUAUGAUCUAAAAGGGGGAGGAACCCUCAGUUCCGGGAAUUUUCCACCCCUUUCCCAGAAAACUCAUGAAUAAUCCAUCCCUUGUUUAGCAUUUAAUUAAGAAAUAAUGAUAAAAAACAGCCAACCAGCAGCCCUUGGGGUUGCUCUGCUUAUGGAGUUGCCAUUAUUUUGUUUCUUUACUUCUCUAAUAAACUUGCUUUUACUUUACUAUAUGGACUCACCCCAAAUUGUUUCUUGCACAAGGUCCAAGAACCCUCUCUUGGGGUCUGGAUUAGGAUUCCUUUCUGGUAACAUUUCUACCACUGCACAGUAUCUCACAAGCUGUCACCCUUUCUUCAACUUUAAACUUCAGGUUUUAUUCAAGAUAAACUGCCACAUUUAUUGUAGUGUGUCUUAGUCUGUUUUGUGUUGCUACAACAGAAUACCACAGACUGGGUAAUUUAUAAUGAACAGAAAUUUAUUUGGCUCAUGGUUCUGGAGGCUGGGAAGUCCAAGAGAAUGGCACUGGCUUCUAGCAAGGGCCCUCAUGCUGCAUCACGCCGUGGUGAAAUGCUGAAGGCCAAGAGAGCACAUGAGUGAAAAAGAGAGAGAAAGAAGGGAAGGGUGCCGAACUUAUCCUUUUUAUCAGG